rnacentral:rRNA from 1 species
CCUACGGGAGGCAGCAGUGAGGAAUAUUGGUCAAUGGACGAGAGUCUGAACCAGCCAAGUAGCGUGAAGGAUGACUGCCCUAUGGGUUGUAAACUUCUUUUAUAUGGGAAUAAAAUGUUCCACGUGUGGGAUUUUGUAUGUACCAUAUGAAUAAGGAUCGGCUAACUCCGUGCCAGCAGCCGCGGUAAUACGGAGGAUCCGAGCGUUAUCCGGAUUUAUUGGGUUUAAAGGGAGCGUAGGUGGAUUGUUAAGUCAGUUGUGAAAGUUUGCGGCUCAACCGUAAAAUUGCAGUUGAAACUGGCAGUCUUGAUUACAGUAGAGGUGGGCGGAAUUCGUGGUGUAGCGGUGAAAUGCUUAGAUAUCACGAAGAACUCCGAUUGCGAAGGCAGUUCACUGGACUGCCACUGACAUUGAUGCUCGAAAGUGUGGGUAUCAAACAGGAUUAGAUACCCGUGUAGUC